GACUAAGCCAUGCGAGUCAUGGGGGUGUCCCUUCUGGGACACCACCGGCGGACGGCUCAGUAACACGUCGGUAACCUACCCUCGGGAGGGGGAUAACCCCGGGAAACUGGGGCUAAUCCCCCAUAGGUGUGGGGUACUGGAAGGUCCCCACACCGAAAGGGGCCUCGUGCCCGCCCGAGGAUGGGCCGGCGGCCGAUUAGGUAGUUGGUGGGGUAACGGCCCACCAAGCCGAAGAUCGGUACGGGCCAUGAGAGUGGGAGCCCGGAGAUGGACACUGAGACACGGGUCCAGGCCCUACGGGGCGCAGCAGGCGCGAAACCUCCGCAAUGCGGGAAACCGCGACGGGGGGACCCCCAGUGCCGUGGCAACGCCACGGCUUUUCCGGAGUGUAAAAAGCUCCGGGAAUAAGGGCUGGGCAAGGCCGGUGGCAGCCGCCGCGGUAAUACCGGCGGCCCGAGUGGUGGCCGCUAUUAUUGGGCCUAAAGCGUCCGUAGCCGGGCCCGUAAGUCCCUGGCGAAAUCCCACGGCUCAACCGUGGGGCUUGCUGGGGAUACUGCGGGCCUUGGGACCGGGAGAGGCGGGGGGUACCCCUGGGGUAGGGGUGAAAUCCUAUAAUCCCAGGGGGACCGCCAGUGGCGAAGGCGCCCCGCUGGAACGGGUCCGACGGUGAGGGACGAAGGCCAGGGGAGCGAACCGGAUUAGAUACCCGGGUAGUCCUGGCUGUAAAGGAUGCGGGCUAGGUGUCGGGCGAGCUCCGAGCUCGCCCGGUGCCGUAGGGAAGCCGUUAAGCCCGCCGCCUGGGGAGUACGGCCGCAAGGCUGAAACUUAAAGGAAUUGGCGGGGGAGCACUACAAGGG
rnacentral:rRNA from 1 species